rnacentral:rRNA from 1 species
GGGGAAUAUUGCACAAUGGGCGAAAGCCUGAUGCAGCAACGCCGCGUGAACGAUGAAGGUCUUCGGAUCGUAAAGUUCUGUUGCAGGGGAAGAUAAUGACGGUACCCUGUGAGGAAGCCCCGGCUAACUACGUGCCAGCAGCCGCGGUAAUACGUAGGGGGCUAGCGUUAUCCGGAUUUACUGGGCGUAAAGGGUGCGUAGGUGGUCCUUCAAGUCGGUGGUUAAAGGCUACGGCUCAACCGUAGUAAGCCGCCGAAACUGGAGGACUUGAGUGCAGGAGAGGAAAGUGGAAUUCCCAGUGUAGCGGUGAAAUGCGUAGAUAUUGGGAGGAACACCAGUAGCGAAGGCGGCUUUCUGGACUGCAACUGACACUGAGGCACGAAAGCGUGGGUAGCAAACAGGAUUAGAUACCCUGGUAGUCCACGCUGUAAACGAUGAGUACUAGGUGUCGGGGGUUACCCCCCUCGGUGCCGCAGCUAACGCAUUAAGUACUCCGCCUGGGGAGUACGCACGCAAGUGUG